GUGCUCUUCCUACCUGGAGCCAGUCCAGCGGCACUGGCGACAACCUUGCGCGAAUGUUGUUUUCACGUGCCACCAGCACAAGUGCUACUAAGGCGAUGCAGGUAACGAUCAUGCCCGAAUGGUGUGUUUAAUGUGCCAUCGACACGAACGCCAGCUUGUUGCUCUGGCAAUGAUCUCACUCAUCUGGUACUCUUAGCGCUCCACUAGCCAUGGAUGCCAGUCACUGAGUUUGAUUUCGAUU